rnacentral:rRNA from 1 species
UGGGGAAUUUUGCACAAUGGGGGCAACCCUGAUGCAGCGACGCCGCGUGAUUUAGAAGGCCUUCGGGUUGUAAAAAUCUUUUGUAUAGGAAGAAAAUGACAGUACUAUACGAAUAAGGUCCGGCUAAUUACGUGCCAGCAGCCGCGGUAAUACGUAAGGACCGAGCGUUGUCCGGAAUCAUUGGGCGUAAAGGGUACGUAGGCGGUUAAAAAAGUUAGAAGUGAAAGGCUAUAGCUCGACUAUAGUAAGCUUUUAAAACUGUUUAACUUGAGAGAUGGAAGGGAAAGUGGAAUUCCCAGUGUAGCGGUGAAAUGCGCAGAUAUUAGGAGGAAUACAGGUGGCGAAGGCGACUUUCUGGCCAUUAUCUGACGAUGAGGUACGAAAGCGUGGGUAGCAAACAGG